GUGAACGCUGGCGGUAGGCCUAACACAUGCAAGUCGAACGGCAGCACAGUAAGAGCUUGCUCUUACGGGUGGCGAGUGGCGGACGGGUGAGGAAUACAUCGGAAUCUACUUUUUCGUGGGGGAUAACGUAGGGAAACUUACGCUAAUACCGCAUACGACCUACGGGUGAAAGCAGGGGAUCUUCGGACCUUGCGCGAUUGAAUGAGCCGAUGUCGGAUUAGCUAGUUGGCGGGGUAAAGGCCCACCAAGGCGACGAUCCGUGGCUGGUCUGAGAGGAUGAUCAGCCACACUGGAACUGAGACACGGUCCAGACUCCUACGGGAGGCAGCAGCGGGGAAUAUUGGACAAUGGGCGCAAGCCUGAUCCAGCCAUACCGCGUGGGUGAAGAAGGCCUUCGGGUUGUAAAGCCCUUUUGUUGGGAAAGAAAAGCAGCAGGUUAAUACCCCGCUGUUCUGACGGUACCCAAAGAAUAAGCACCGGCUAACUUCGUG
rnacentral:rRNA from 1 species